GAUGAACGCUGGCGGCGUGCCUAAUACAUGCAAGUCGAGCGAACAGAUGAGGAGCUUGCUCCUCUGACGUUAGCGGCGGACGGGUGAGUAACACGUGGAUAACCUACCUAUAAGACUGGGAUAACUUCGGGAAACCGGAGCUAAUACCGGAUAAUAUAUUGAACCGCAUGGUUCAAUAGUUAAAGACGGUUUUGCUGUCACUUAUAGAUGGAUCCGCGCCGCAUUAGCUAGUUGGUAAGGUAACGGCUUACCAAGGCAACGAUGCGUAGCCGACCUGAGAGGGUGAUCGGCCACACUGGAACUGAGACACGGUCCAGACUCCUACGGGAGGCAGCAGUAGGGAAUCUUCCGAAAUGGGCGAAAGCUUGACGGAGCAACGCCGCGUGAGUGAUGAAGGUCUUCGGAUCGUAAAACUCUGUUAUUAGGGAAGAACAAAUGUGUAAGUAACUAUGCACGUCUUGACGGUACCUAAUCAGAAAGCCACGGCUAACUACGUG
rnacentral:rRNA from 1 species